GAUGAACGCUAGCGACAGGCUUAACACAUGCAAGUCGAGGGGCAGCGAGAAAGUGCUUGCACUUUUGUCGGCGACCGGCGCACGGGUGAGUAACACGUAUGCAACCUGCCCUUGUCAGGGGGAUAAGCGGGGGAAACCCCGUCUAAUACCGCAUAUAUGAUUUGGAGGCAUCUUUAAAUCAGGAAAGAAUUAUCGGACAAGGAUGGGCAUGCGGGACAUUAGGUAGUUGGGGGUGUAACGGACCACCAAGCCGACGAUGUCUAGGGGUUCUGAGAGGAAGGUCCCCCANACUGGUACUGAGACACGGUCCAGACUCCUACGGGAGGCAGCAGUGAGGAAUAUUGGUCAAUGGUCGAAAAGGACUGGAACCAGCCAUGCCGCGUGAAGGUCACGGCCCUA
rnacentral:rRNA from 1 species